AGACUGAAUAAGUCACAAGAGGCCCAAACAGAACCCAAGCCCAUUGGCCUCAGGUACUCCUUUUGCCUCUCUUUGCUUCUCCAAGAGGUUAACCUUUCCUCAUGCCUCCCCACUCAAGGUUAGCAACCCUACAUCUUGUUCGGUGGGUGGCCUUCUCUCCUCUCCUCCGAUCUGUCCAUCCUGGGCUGGGAGGGCAGCUGGUUUUGUCUCCAGGCAUCAUAAAGCCUGGGACAACAGGAAGACACAAGACUUUGCUGAGACCAGCUUCAGUCAUCCAAUGGAGGGAUCUCUACAGGGUACUGCUAACUCUAACUAGGUUGAUGGAAUCCCUAUUUGGUGGGCAGGAGAGCCACCCUCAUCCCAGCCCUGCACCUCUGGUUAAUCCUCUAGAUCUAACCCAAGCUCCUUGCUCACUCCUUCUAUAGCCAAAUGCCAGGCUGACAGUCGCUUCUCUCCUAGGAUCCCUGACAAAGACACACCUGCUCCACGAGAAAGGAGAUCUAAGGUGCUUUAUGUUCAGCCUUCACCACAAAGGUACCAGAGCCCAGUCACAGAGAGAGAGAGAGAGAGGCAGAGACACAGGCAGAGGGAGAAGCAGGCUCCAUGCACCGGGAGCCCGACGUGGGAUUCGAUCCCGGGUCUCCAGGAUCGCGCCCUGGGCCAAAGACAGGCGCCAAACCACUGUGCCACCCAGGGAUCCCUAGAAGGGAGAACUUUAAAAAAAUGGGAUCAGUUGCCAUUUGAGCGUUGUUACCCGGGACUCAAACGGUAUGGAGAUCGGACUACGUUCAGAGCGAUUCUUCAGUGGGGAAGUUAAGAGUACGAUUUACUGAAGCAAGCUGCACAACUGCUGGUGCCUGACGUUGUACCAUUUCAGUUGGUUUCAUUUUCCUACCUAGCUGGCUCUUGAAAUAACCCUCUGGGCUUCAAAUCAACGAAACAAGUGAGCAAGAAGUAACCUCAAGAAAAACUUUGGGAGAAUGUGCCUUGAGAAAAGCCAGAGGAAGUCCCACUGAAUCAAGUUAAUUAAGAAUCAAAACCAAGGAAUGCAGUGAAGACAGGUUUUUCAAUUGCCCAGAGAAGACACAGUUCCUUUUCAACUAAAAUUAGAAAGCCACUGGGAACAUAAGCCAAGAAGCACGGGUUUGCGCCUGGCUUUUGGGAUUCAGCAGUCCCCCCCCCCCCCCACAGAGCAUCAGCAAACAGUUUGGGAAUUCUUGUCAACAAGUUCUUAAAUGGCUCACAAUUCUGGGAAGAACUUGCAUGUACCUAGCUGGUGCUCAAGGACCCAAGUGAAAACAUUAAACGGAGGUUUUUGCCCACUUUGCAGUCUAAGGCGAGAAGUCACCUGCCCUACGAGGUGCCCUCGUGUCCUGACACCAUCUCUCCACUGGGAUAUAUCGGGAACCAGGUUGGGUUCUAUGCCCAGCAGUGCCCAUGUGGUUGGCGCCGCCUGCACUUCAAGCAUUCCCUUGCCCCUCUCUGCACUCGGGAGGGCCCUGAAUCGCCGGGGGGCACCUAGAUCAGUGCAGGAGGGUCCCCCGAACACAGGGCAAGCGCGAGGGGCGUCGGCCGCCUCCUCGGAGCAGACCCAGGCUACGUCCACGGGCCGGACAGCACUGGGGCGGGUCGGCAACCGGGCAGAGGGGGUGCCAGGCCCGCCCGGGUGCCCGCACCUCUCGCCAGCCCCCGGAAGCGCCACCCUCCCGCCCAGCGGGCUCCGAGGGGGCGGGGAGUCGAACGCCCCCUUCCGGGUGCCUCCGCCCGGCUGGCCAGCCCCGCUCCUCCUCCGGGCGGGAAUCCUCCCUCCCCCGCCCCUCCCGGAGCCGGGCCCCGGCGCCAGG